rnacentral:rRNA from 1 species
GAUGAACGCUGGCGGCGUGCCUAAUACAUGCAAGUCGAGCGAACAGACGAGGAGCUUGCUCCUCUGACGUUAGCGGCGGACGGGUGAGUAACACGUGGAUAACCUACCUAUAAGACUGGGAUAACUUCGGGAAACCGGAGCUAAUACCGGAUAAUAUAUUGAACCGCAUGGUUCAAUAGUGAAAGACGGUUUUGCUGUCACUUAUAGAUGGAUCCGCGCCGCAUUAGCUAGUUGGUAAGGUAACGGCUUACCAAGGCAACGAUGCGUAGCCGACCUGAGAGGGUGAUCGGCCAAACUUGAACUGGGACACGGUCCAGACUCCUACGGGAGGCAGCAGUAGGGAAUCUUCCGCAAUAGGCGAAAGCCUGACGGAGCAACGCCGCGUGAGUGAUGAAGGUCUUCGGAUCGUAAAACUCUGUUAUUAGGGAAGAACAAAUGUGUAAGUAACUAUGCACGUCUUGACGGUACCUAAUCAGAAAGCCACGGCUAACUACGUGCCAGCCGCCGCCGUAA